AAACCGCAAGUGCGACAGCACAAAAACACCAAAAAAAAAUCAGCAUCACGCAUGAUGACACCAUAAAAACUUUCAGUAUGAUCGUGACUGCUGCUCUGUUCUGAUCAAGUCAGGACUGAAGAGCCCCGUGUGGAGAAGAGAGUCUUGAGUUCAGGUGUGUCUUCAGCUGCUGUAGCAGGAAUAUGUGCUGCUGUUCUGCUGCUGGUGACUGCUGUAAGCUGCUGCUGCUGUGAUUUACUAUCGCCAGAAGAUCUCCAAAAAUGCAGAAAGGGAGAAAAACAUGUAUAAAGGAUUGCCCACAGAUGAGACAACCCCAAAAGUGUGAUUAUAAAAUGAGAAAAAAAUGCUGCAGAAACAAUCUUCACUGCGACUUUGAAAAAUUUUAGCAUGGAUGCAAAUUUAGAAGAACGUAUCAUUCUGGGUUUUGUUUAACUUGAGAAGACACUAAUUGCAACACUGGAAAACACUAAUUGUUAGGCCGUAUGAGUGAGUUUUCUUUUUGGUGAAAACAACUUAUUCAUUUAUAAUCAUGUAAUCAUUUAAUCAUGGUUAUGUCAUUGUUUUUCGGGCUCUUACUGUGAUUUCUAUUGUUUUAUCUUCCAAUCGCAUGGUUUCCAUGGGGGAUUUGUUUUCAAGAGUAGGACAUUGGUAGGGCUUUGGUUAUAACGUUGCUUGUAAAAUUUUGUGCUGGUCAGAGGAGGAAGUAGGGAUGAAGUACAGGCGAAGUCUGGGCAUUGAAAAUGUGUGCAAUUACAAUUAGUUAUUAUGCCAUCUGUUAACUGUGACACUAGCAGUAAAAUGAGUUCAUUUAGCAAAUGUUUUUAAACAAAUGUAGCAGAUGAGCAUCAUAAGCACUUUAUGACAAUAAUUAUUAAAAUAAGAUGAAGGACAGAUACUGUUGCUUACAGGUAGGGCUGUUGCAAUAACCGCAAUAUGUAAUACCGCGCUAUUGACGAACAAACCGCAGCGGUAUGCAAACCGUGGUUUCUGCGUGUUUUCUUUUUUCAUGUAUGCUCAUCUUGUUUUAUACUUUGUGCAUGUCUACUGAAUAUUCAAUAUGUUAGUAAUAAUAACAUAAUGUGUACCAUGCUGAUUUAUUCAGAUGCUCUGUAUAAUUGCACUUGACUAUAAACCAGACAGCGAAUGAGAGAGAGCAUGUGCGAUAACUUGCAAUUCAUAUAUGUUUGUGAAAAUAGGUUGUCAAUGUCCAAGGAAAGCAAAAUCUCUGUCUUAGCAUCGAUGCAGUCUUCUAAAGUGAUGCCCAAAGUUAAAAAUGAUUUCAACAGCGCGUUUUAAUGCAUCUCUCUUUGCAUGAAUCUGUGUUUUGAAUAGGUGAACGGUUUUAAAGACUCACUCAAACACAGUCCCUUGCCGCCACCUUGUGGAACAACAAUGUAACUGCAUGGACUGACAGCCAGUCUAGAAAGCUGCACAGGUGGAAAUAUCAAUAAAAGUCUAGUCAGAUUCGAAGAUCAGAAGUAAUUGUUAUACAUAUUGGCUAGCAAUAGCCCUAACAAUCUUAUUGUCCAUGUUUAUGUUCUUUUAGGUGGGACCGUUAUUUUUGUCAUUCUCUUUUGUUCACUUCACUUCUUGUUUAAACACUAUUUGGUUACGGUUUCACUGGUUUCUGAAUAUGAUUUCAUUAUAUUGUAACACAUACACUCACACUUAUAAUAUAUGGUGAUAAUUCUGCAUAUCACGCUAUUUGAGACACUCAAAAUUACUGCAAGGUAAAAUCAUUCACUGCGACAACCCUAUUUACAGCUCAACAGAACAGAUUAAAGUUUUGGAGGAGGGAAAUCAUUUUUAGAAAUCCGGAUGAUGCAGCUGUUACUGUUACUUCUAUUUAUACCUCAGAGGUUGAAAUGUAAUGUCUGUAAUGUUACUCAAUAUUUGGAAGUCCAUUCUGGCAUUCCCAUUCAUUUUCUCCAUUGAGAAACUGAUUAAAUGAUUCUGUAUAAACCACAGACCUGUAAGCAGCACUGGGGAGAUUACUUGCAAAGUGUAGUUACUUAUUACAAAUUACAUGAAGAAAACUGCAGUUUGUAAUGUAAGCUUGAUUAUUUAUUUUAGGCAAUGUAUUCUGACUACUUUAAGAUUCAUUUUGAAUCAACUUGUUAAAAGUCUCAGGGGAUUUCAACUAAAUAUUUUAGGUCGAAGGGGUUUAUCUGAAAGAAAAAAAAAAAGUUUUAGGAAUUCCUGCAUUACUUGAAAGCAGCAAUGACAGCAAUGAGUGUGAGUAAUAUGUAAUAUUAUCAUAAAAACUGUACUCUGAUUAUGAGGAUUUUAAAAUGUAAUAUAAUUACAAGUACAGUUUUUGGAAUCUGAUUAUGUAAUCCAGAUUACAUGAAAAAAUUACAAGAAAAAUAAAUUAGAGAAGCAUGGCAAGUUUUGCAUCACAGGUUAAUUAUAUGUUCUUUUACAGUAUGUACAGUAGGUCUUGUUUUGCUUGUACAAAUGUUUUUAUUUUCCUCCUUCAAAUCAAAAGUUUGUAAUGUUGUAGUUCAUCUGUAUACAUAUGCUUUCAGGAGAAACAUUUUUUUUUUUUUUUUUUUUUUUUUUUUUGACAUCAUUAUGGAGAAAGAAACUGAAUGGGACAAAUAUCUUCCAGAACAAAAAUUACUCUGUCACUGUUUGUGUUGUAUUAUUAAAUUUAUUUAUGCAUGAGAAAGAUGAUAAAUGUCUGUGUAUAAUAAAACAACUAUCGUCAUCUUCAGAUUUCCUGCAGUUUGCUGUCACUGCUGGUUUUAUUAUUGAAUUGUAUUUUGGUGUAUUUUCAUUUCAUUAGAUAUAUAAUAAAUAACUGUAUGAUUCAAUUA